AGCCAUCCUUUUUGCCUGCUGCCGUGUGUCGCGUGUCUCAGCUCCUGCGAUUCUUGGCCUGCUGCCGUCCACGCCCAUACUCCGCCGCACUCGGCCUUAACCUCGCAGCCACCGGCGCCGCAUUCGGCGGGGCUGCCUCCUGAGGCUGCGGGAUGUUGAGCGCGGCACGGAGGACUGGGCCUGCCGGGGCCGAGGUCGGGAAGGCAACGUUGGCCGCUUGCGCGGUGAGAGCGGCCGCAGCUCGUGAGGGCCGCGCCCUGCUCGCGUCUCGGCCUGGGCGGCCCUGCGCUCUCGGUAGGACAGUCUCCAGAAUGUCCCAGUAGAUGUAUUGGUGACACGUCCUGAUGCACAGGAUUUAGCUGUGCCAGAUGGAGAGUCCAGUAUGACUGAAGUUGGUAUUUCUGGUGAGUGAAGACUCGUCAUGACAGUGAUGACAGAGACUAGAGUCCCAGGACCUGGUUCCCCCCUGGAUUUUACCGGCAGUGCCUGAUACUAAAAGAUACCAGCUUGUUUCUGGAGCUGAAUCUCUAGAAUAAGUGAAACUGUCUUCAUCUGUGAUUUUGGAUCUGCAGAGUUGGGGGAGAAACACUAUGGGAAGAGACAACAGGCUUUUAAGUGGAAACCAUGACUUUUUUUGGCUAAUGUUUGUACCUGGCAUGUAAGUGACCAAUAAACUCCUGCAUGUA